rnacentral:rRNA from 1 species
UACGUAGGGCGCAAGCGUUAUCCGGAAUUAUUGGGCGUAAAGAGCUCGUAGGCGGUUUGUCGCGUCUGCCGUGAAAGACCGGGGCUCAACUCCGGUUCUGCAGUGGGUACGGGCAGACUAGAGUGCAGUAGGGGAGACUGGAAUUCCUGGUGUAGCGGUGAAAUGCGCAGAUAUCAGGAGGAACACCGAUGGCGAAGGCAGGUCUCUGGGCUGUAACUGACGCUGAGGAGCGAAAGCAUGGGGAGCGAACAGG